rfam:Aedes albopictus isolate Foshan contig113357, whole genome shotgun sequence.
GGCUCGGUAGCUUAGUUGGUAAAGCACUUGUCUAGCGGACAAGGGCCGUGAGUUCAAAUCUCACCUGAGCUG